rnacentral:rRNA from 1 species
GACGAACGAUGGAGGCGUGCUUAACACAUGCAAGUCGAACGGAAAGGCCCUGCUUUUGUGGGGUGCUCGAGUGGCGAACGGGUGAGUAACACGUGAGUAACCUGCCCUUGACUUUGGGAUAACUUCAGGAAACUGGGGCUAAUACCGGAUAGGAGCUCCUGCUGCAUGGUGGGGGUUGGAAAGUUUCGGCGGUUGGGGAUGGACUCGCGGCUUAUCAGCUUGUUGGUGGGGUAGUGGCUUACCAAGGCUUUGACGGGUAGCCGGCCUGAGAGGGUGACCGGCCACAUUGGGACUGAGAUACGGCCCAGACUCCUACGGGAGGCAGCAGUGGGGAAUAUUGCACAAUGGGCGGAAGCCUGAUGCAGCAACGCCGCGUGCGGGAUGACGGCCUUCGGGUUGUAAACCGCUUUCGCCUGUGACGAAGCGUGAGUGACGGUAAUGGGUAAAGAAGCACCGGCUAACUACGUG